rnacentral:tRNA from 1 species
WCCGUAAAUGAGGCUACGGCUCACCG